AGACUGUGUGGUUCCUGUUGCGGCUCCAGACUUCCUUAGUUUGCCUGUGGAGAGGAAAGGAGAACCGAGAGACAGACAGGGCCGAGUGGUGGCGUCAGGAGCUGUAGCGCUCGCUGUGGCGUCCAGCGCAGCUGCACAUGAACUUGACCCAACACUAGAGUUGGACGAAUUUGGUGAUUUCGGCAAUCCUGAAGUGGAGGGGAGCGUCCUUUUAGACAGCCAGUACAACAUGGUGGAGUUUGCCAAGAAAUACUUCAGACAAUCUAACGGGAGCCAAAGGUUUGACCAGUCAGACUCAAACACAGUUACUGUGUGUCUCUAAAGGCAGAAACCAUAAACCUUCAGUAACAUUAUUUAUGUGUAUUUUAUGUUGGCAGUGAUUCAUUCAGAGACAAGUCUAAGAAAGGCAAAGGCAGAGACCCUGCGGAAAUGGUCAAAUUCAGCAAGGUAACACAAAGCACACCUUCCACUGUGAAUGUUGUCUGAUUUUCAGUAAAACAGAAACA
ensembl:lncRNA